UGCCGGUCCGGACUUCUCCGGACCGUGCACAUCACUAGUUAUAGCACUCACAAAGGGUGGCUGAAUGUAUAAGCAGAAAUCUUCUAGUCAAGUCUGAAUGAUAAUCCAUGUGUCAUAGAUUGAUUGGAUGUGCCUUGUUCUUUGGCUAACCAAUCCUGUGAAAGAAGUUCUGGUCCCUCUUAGUUUGGAUUCCCAGUUUGGAAUGGAUGCUCUCUGGAGCACAUUUCUGUACUUAGAUAAAAGCCACAAAUCUUCUCAACUAAAUCAGUCUGCCAAAUUCAUAACAUUCAAGAUUCAUUUCCUGUGACUCUGAUCUCCAUUCUGAGCUAGAAACACUGUGUACCUGGUACUUCUGGCCACUUCCGGCUGAGGAGAAGGAAGGGGCGGCAGGGAGGUAUGCUGCCGCCCCGAAGGUUUUUACCAGCAACAAGCACCGAUGGGGGGGAAGCCACAGGAGUGGUAAGUGCACCCUCCCCCGCCCUUAAAGCAGCACCCUCACCGAAAUCGAACUGCCCCACCGCAGUUCCGUACACAUCCCUACUCUCAAUGCUUUCCCAGAAUGAGACCAUGGGAUCAUAGUCUCCAUGAACGUUGACCUUGCUCUUUGGCAAAAAUUGGUCAUUAAGCAACAGACCAGGCUUGGCAGCAUGCCUUCAGGAUAAAGAGACAACAAACUGAAGAAGGACAUGCUUACCCCUCCUCUAUCAGGGGACCAGGUGCCAGAAAAUCCGGGGACAAAAGAAGAUGCCCAUUUGCAAGCUCAAGAGAUGCAGAUUUGCUUUGGGAAUGUCAAUAGAACAGUACCCUGCCCAAACAGGAGAUGGGAUCCAGAUCCUGUUUACCCUGGAUUGACUUAAUAUCCUGAACUAAUAUCAAUAACUAAAAGACAGGAUCUGGAGGGUAACAGCAAUUGACACCUUUUGUGAUCCAGGAAGGAUGAUGAUAUUUUGAAUAGACUCUAUGGAAAUCAAAUGAUGGAACAACUAUAAGAAGGGGUCUCUGGACAUGGCAAAUCAGCAAACUUUGCCUAACCAGCAGAUCUUUGCUCAUGUGCGUAUCCCAAGUGCCUGCUGUGUAGCUAAGCAGAGGCCUGAAGCCUGCAGAAAAGAGACUGCUCAGUGAUUAUUGCCGUGGGGGCAAAGAAUCAAUGGCUGACUCUGUUUGUGAAAUCCAGCACCAGCUUUUCCAUCUGAAGCCUCAUCGCUCUCAAGGCCCAGCAAUGAACAAGUCCUUUGAAGCCUUCUUCGUGGACCUGGUGAGAUGCCUAUUCAAUGCACAGCCCAGCCUGCUUCCCCCUUUCCUCCUCCCUACUAAUCACUGCCAUCCCUUUGGUAAGCCCUCCCUUCUUUCUUCUCUCUCUGUUUCUCUCUAAAUGUUUUAUUAGGAUUUGUUAGACAGCUGUAAUUAUUGAUUGCACAGACAUGUUAUAGCUAGGCACAUUGCACUACACCUUGAACUGGAAACGUGUUUAAUUUGGAUGACCUGUUUGAAUUUUAUCCUGAUGAACAACUUUCUAUAAUAAAGCCCAUUGAACUUUC